rnacentral:rRNA from 1 species
UGGGGAAUUUUGGACAAUGGGGGAAAUCCUGAUCCAGCCAUCCCGCGUGUGCGAUGAAGGCCUUCGGGUUGUAAAGCACUUUUGGCAGGAAAGAAACGUCAUGGGUUAAUACCCCGUGAAACUGACGGUACCUGCAGAAUAAGCACCGGCUAACUACGUGCCAGCAGCCGCGGUAAUACGUAGGGUGCAAGCGUUAAUCGGAAUUACUGGGCGUAAAGCGUGCGCAGGCGGUUCGGAAAGAAAGAUGUGAAAUCCCAGAGCUCAACUUUGGAACUGCAUUUUUAACUACCGGGCUAGAGUGUGUCAGAGGGAGGUGGAAUUCCGCGUGUAGCAGUGAAAUGCGUAGAUAUGCGGAGGAACACCGAUGGCGAAGGCAGCCUCCUGGGAUAACACUGACGCUCAUGCACGAAAGCGUGGGGAGCAAACAGG